AUGUUUUCCUUGAAGAAAGUUGACUUCUUUCUUCCUUUUGCUUUCUGCCCUCCUAAGUUUGGUCCAGUGGUUUGUGUUUGCUUCUUAUAGGGUGACAUUUUUGCUGAGUUUUUGUUUGUUUGUUUGUUUGUUUUUCCUCUGAUGGGCAAGGCUGAGUGAGGUGGUAAUCCUGUCUGCUGAUGACUGGGUUUGUAUUUUUUUUGUUUGUUUGUUGUUUAG